GUGCUUGCUUUGGCAGCACAUAUACUAAAAUUGUAAUGACAUAGAGAAGAUUAGUGUGGCCCCUGCGCAAGGAUGACACACAAAUUUGUGAAGCAUUCCACAUUUAA